rnacentral:rRNA from 1 species
UAAGGAAUAUUGGUCAAUGGACGCAAGUCUGAACCAGCCAUGCCGCGUGGAGGAUUAAGGCCCUCUGGGUUGUAAACUCCUUUUAUCUGGGAAGAAAUGUACUUUUUCUUGAGUACUUGACGGUACCAGAGGAAUAAGCACCGGCUAACUCCGUGCCAGCAGCCGCGGUGAUACGGAGGGUGCAAGCGUUAUCCGGAUUCACUGGGUUUAAAGGGUGCGUAGGUGGGCAGGUAAGUCAGUGGUGAAAUCUCCGGGCUUAACCCGGAAACUGCCGUUGAUACUAGUUGUCUUGAAUAUUGCGGAGGUAAGCGGAAUAUGUCAUGUAGCGGUGAAAUGCUUAGAUAUGACAUAGAACACCAAUUGCGAAGGCAGCUUACUACACAAUCAUUGACACUGAGGCACGAAAGCGUGGGUAGCGAACG